CAACAAUGUAACUCCUUAGAAGGUAAUCUUUUCCUAACUGUGUAAGGGGUCAUGGUGACCUGUGGCUCAUUUAGUAUGUGCUUAUCCAGACUAUGUAUCUUUGGUGAACUUUAUAUAUAACAUGUCAGUGUAUCAUUUUGAUGUAUGUUCCUUUGUUUCAAAAAUAUAUAUGACUGCACUUUCUGAAAGAUGCUUCCCGAACUAUAAUACUCAUGUUGGUGCCAAUGAAGUCCUCUAUUUCUUCCGUAGAUUGACUAUUUAUUAUUUUUUUCAUGGACAUAGCAGAAUAAAAAUGUUUCCUCUCCUUUAAAAGACAAAAAGGAAAAAAAAAUCAGGGUUUAAGAAAUCUGCUGAAUAUCAUAAAACUUCUGGAUUCCAAUAAGCUCUUCUUAGGUGUUCCUGUUGUGGCUCAGUGGGUUACAAACUUCACUGGAAUCCAUGCGGAUGUGGAUUCAAUCCCCAGCCUCGCUCAGUGGCUUAAGGAUCUGGCAUUGCUGUGGGCGCAGGUGCAGCCCUAAAAAAAAAAGCACUUCUCACAUUUAUUUCAAUAUACUUCUCUUUUUUUUAGUAGCCUUUUUUUUUUCCUUUCUUUCUUUUUUUUUUUUUUUUUUCUUUUUUAGGGCCACACCCAGGGCACAUGGAGGGUCCCAGGCUAGGGGUCUAAUUGGAGCAACAGCUGCCAGCCUAUGCCACAGCCACAGCAACGUGGGAUCUGAGCCGUGACUGUGACCUACACCACAGCUCAAGGCAACGCUGGACCCUUAACCCACUGAGUGAGGCCAGGGAUCGAACCCGCAACCUCAUGAUUCCUAGUCGGAUUUGUUUCCGCUGCACCGUGGCGGGAACUCCAGUAGUCUUUCUAAUAUAUUAGACAAAUCAUCAAAUUUUACCAUUUACUGUCCUUUUGUAGGUGCAGACCACAGCUUAAGUAUCCUGAGCAAGGUCAGAUAGCCAGUCUCAUGAAUUCAUGUGGGGGGUGGUCACAAGUUCCAAGUCCAUUUCAAGGAGAUUAAACCCAAAAGCUCUGGCCAUGUCUCAUUGUAAUGCUCCUUCCCCCAUCUUGACCAGCUUGGGCUGCUCACUCCCAGCUAGAGAGGGAAUGUCACCCACUCCUCACCUGCCAUUCUAUAAUCUGUUCCCCACGCAAAUAAGGGAUCCUUGCCCAGAACCAAUCAGAGGAUCAAAAGGUGCCCCCAUACAGAGAUCAAAACAACACUCAGCCCUUACUCACAUGCACGGCACAGGGGGGUUGGGACAGUAAAUUAGCAGGCAUGGGGACAAGAGAAUGGGGGUCCUCAAACAUGUCUGCAAUGUAGAGAUAUAAGGAAGGACCCAGUUGCAGCCAGCACCAGUCACUACCCCAGAGCAGCUUGCUCUCUCUGAGGGUGUAAAUAAAACUUGUUGUACACUGCUACCUGACUCUUGAUUGCCUCUUUAGAUCUGCUUAUUCAGUUGUGCUGCUGAUCUGCCCUGUGCUCAUGUUGAGCAAGGAAACUAGAGAGAGAUGGAUGGGAGGAGAAAAGAACCAGCAGGGAGACAUGCCCAUACUGUCACUGAUUAAGGUGUCAGUGAUGCAUGGGUUUCCUGAGGACUGGAGGCCACGUGAGAGCCCAUCAGAUUUGGCCCUUCCACAGGUGUCCCAUUUCCCUGUGGAUCAAGCAUCUGACACACACCCCACAGGACUUGAGGAGGAGUUGGAAAAGGUCAAAGGAGCACUGACCGAAGGCAUGAGGGACCUGGAGAAGAAAAUGCCUCCUGCAGGGAUGCUUGAGGACCCCAGAUAGGCACUGCAUGAGAGGGACAGUGUUAGAAGGCUCACCACACAGAGGUCAGGACCACCAGCAAAGUUAAAGCAGACCAAACUUGGUACAAAACAACUGUUCUCUCUUCCUUCUACUCUCUCUUUCACCUCUCUCUAUGGAAUAGGGCAGCAAAGGAGCAUGGAAAAAUAAAAGAUCAGAAAUGCUCCUUGCCUAAAAAUCAUACCUUUCGAGUGUCAGCCUGGCCAUCAAUGGACCUGGGAAGGAGAGGGAUCCUUGAUUAGACAUAGAUCAUGGCAGUAAACCAGAAUAGAUCAAAAUGGAAAUUUGUAACACUCAGAGUGACUGGACAGCUCUGGGGACUGCCUGAAAUCUAAUGACAGGAUGAAGAGGCGAAGAUAGGCUAGAGCCCAUUGGGGUUGUGAUGGGAAGAAUAUAGUUUUGCAUGGUUUCUCCCCCGAAAGUAUUCCAUCAGCAGUUACACAUUUCUAAGAAAUACUUGUGAAAUGCAAAUGAAUUGUAUGAUGAAUCAAGAUAAGAACUGAUUCUGUUACACAAUAACUUGAAGAAUGGCUUAGACUGUUAAUUAGAUAUAUCAAUUGCAUGUAACGAAGCCAAGUGCUGUUCAUUAACUGCGUAACACUUUGAUCCUGUUUUGUGUUUGGUUACCUCUAGCCUCUAAUCCAAAGAGACAAGAAUACAAAACAUUUCUGUCCCCUUCUUCUCAUUAACAAACUUCCAAGUGUGGGCACUUGAAAGACCACAGGGCAUCAUUAACGCAUUUUCUCCCACUUUCAUCAUAAUAAGGAAUGCCUCACACUCUUUCUCAUUUGGGGAAUUUAUUGAUUUCACAGACUUUAAUGUUAAGAAUGCCUUAGAGAAGUUAAAAGCUUGAAAACUAAAGAUCCAGUGUAGAUCUGGGACUGAAAACUUGAGAUGAUGCAAGGCAACCAAAGUUGACUCCAUAUCCUGCCCUAGGUGUUAGUAUUAUAACCCCGAGAGAAAUGUGACUGCUGCCUAAUUUUGAUCUUUAUCUGAUGCAAAUAUGUUUACUCAAGAUGAUCUCAUGAGUAAGAUAGGAAGAGUCACAUAUUUACAAACAUUUUAGAGGCCUUGGGAAGGGUCUCCAAUUUACCUUUCAUCUUAACAUGAGACUAGUUCCUAUUUAGAGACUAACCCCAAAUGUGGACACAGUAUAAAAUACCUAGCUUCUCCUCUAAUACACUUCAGAAGUGUAGUCCCCCCAAAAAAUAAAAUAAAAUAAAAAGGUGGGAAAAUGCAGGACAAUUCUUCUCUUUUGAUAGGAGACAUUCCAUGUUGCUUUUUCUAUGUGGUUGAUUUCUUUCUUUUUUUUUUUUAAGCUUUUUAUUAAUUUAUUUUUUUCCCACUGUAUAGCAAGGGGAUCAAGUUAUCCUUACAUGUAUACAUUUUCUUUUCCCCCACCUUUGUUCUGUUGCAAUAUGAGUAUCUAGACAUAGUUCUCAAUGCUACUCAGUAGGAUCUCCUUGUAAAUCUAUUCUAAGUUGUGUCUGAUAACUCCAAGCUCCUGAUCCCUCCCACUCCUCCCUCUCCCAUCCUGGCAGCCACAGUCUAUUUUCCAAGUCCAUGAUUUUCUUUUCUGAGGAGAUGUUCAUUUGUGCUGGAUAUUAGAUUCCAGUUAUAAGUGAUAUCAUAUGGUAUUUGUCUUUGUCUUUCUGGCUCAUUUCACUCAGUAUGAGAUUCUCUAGUUCCAU
rnacentral:lncRNA from 1 species